ACUACCUGGCUUCCAACAGCUUCCCUCUCCUUGGGAGUGUGCACGGAGGGACUGCCGGGAAGCAUUCCACCGAACCAUUAUGUACUCGAACAAAACCUGAAACCUGCAGAUACGAGACUAAAUUAUAGUCUGGGGCAAUCAUCAGAACACGCUUAUUUUCUG